rnacentral:lncRNA from 1 species
GAGUCUUUCACUCAGAUUCAAAUAUAAAAUAUACACAGAAAAAUGUUUACUUGGCCAAACCUCUUGAUAAAUUUCAGUUAAAAUACUACCUGAAGAUUGUCCAACUGAAUCUAUUAAUAUUGCUAAUGCAUACCAAUCCGAUAGUAUCUUCUUAUCUAUAGCAUCAAAUAGCGCAUCUCUAGUAACCUCAUAUUUAGCAAAGUCUUCAUGUACUGAAGUCAUUAGCGCGCUAAAUUUCUUUUCUCUAUCCCUUCGAGCAGCUCUUCGAGCCCUUAACAUUUUUUGUAUUGCAACAGGGACAUUACGUAUCAUUUCAUUUUUUGAGUAAGAAUGAUUAAAGGAAUAAACGCUGCGACAUCGUACCCUGAUACAUUGUCCCCUUUUUCGAAUUUGAGAAGUCGCAUUUGGACUAAUU